AUGAUAAUACGCCUUCCAGUGGAAAUUCUCGAGAGGCCAAUAAAUCCCCCCAUGCUAGGGUUCGCCGCCAGAGGGCCUCUAACCGAAACCUGGUCUGGAUCAGGAAGGAGUUGGUAGAGAAGGGCGAGUUCUCUGCCGAUGACUGCCACCCUAUAGGGAGAUCAGAUCGGCUACCACCACCAAAGCAAUUCAGUUUUUUGAGAGAUCUGUGGUCUAGGCAGACUGGGCGAAUUGCGUUUGCGGAGGUUGUUAAGAAGAUGGCUGGCGGAGGAGGUCGAGAAAAUUCAAGGGGAGGAGGAAAAUAUGCGGCAGGAAGGGGGAGGAAUGAGUUGGGGAGACCUACAGCUCCAACGACCGUCCCCACUGUUCCUCCAGCUAGGCCCCGUGCGCAAAAUUCAGGCCCCCCUGUGAAUAUCUUCUCCAGACCACCGAUUGCGCCGCUGAUGCCUGGACCGAAUAUGGUUCCUCCCGGCCACAUGUUCCCUGGUUACCAUGGAGGGGGCUGGGGCAACCACUACAAUCAGAUGCCGCAGUGGCCACAACAGAUGCAGUUUUCGUACCAGUAUAUCCCACCGCCUGUUGGUCCUCCAAUCAAUUACCAACAGCAGCCUGCGAGGAGCAGCAGUGGGCAGAUUGGGGGAGCAUGCAGCCUGUGUAGUUGGGGCAACCUGGAACUAGUAAGUCCAAGAAGAAGCAGAAGGCUAAGACUCUGAAAAAUCAAGAAGCUGGCGCUGGGAUAAAUCAAACUUCUGACACUGUUGAUGAGGCAGGUAGCUAUCAGGUGGAUUCUAAGUUCAUUGGGGCUAUCUGCUACAACUGUGGGGUACUAGGUCACUUUGUUGGUAUGUGCCCUGUUCCUAAAGUUUGCUUCAUGUGUAAAACUCCUGGACAUCACAUGGAUGUCUGACCUGCUUGGUACAAGACCUACCCUGCUGCUCAGUAUUGGGGGAGUGCCAAUACAGGGCUGGGUUUCUUUCAUGUGGAAACAGGGGAAACAAAUGACAAUGAUUGGUUGAAUAUUGGUAAUGUGGGGUUGGUUAUAGUUGAAGAGGGAGCUAUCACUGCUGAGGAGCUGGGGCGAUGUUUUUCAGAUAUGUGGAAGACUAACUGGCCUUGGCAGAUAAGGCCAUUCAACAAAAGUAAGUUCCUUGUGAGAUUUCCUCCAAACAAAAGGAUUGCAAAAUUGGUGGAGUAUGACUCAAUCAACCUGAAGAAGAAAGGGGUUACAAUUUCCUUUGAAGACUGGCUAGGAGAUCUACCAUCAUAUGAUUCAUUAACAGAGACCUGGGUGGUGAUUGAGGGACUGCCUCCUAAAUAGUUUAGCUGGAACACCUUUGUGCAAAUAGCCACCAUUCUGGGGAUUCUGGUUAAUGUGGACUGGCACCUAAUUUUCAGAAGCUUCUAUGAAAAAGUGAGAAUUCAGGUGGCUGUCAGAUAUCCCAAGAAAAUUCCUACUGAUAGAGUAGUUGAAAUAAACCAUGAACUGUAUUUACUGAAGUUUACUAUGGAGGAGGAAGCAGUGGCUGGACAAAGUACUGAUGACCCAUCUGAUCCAAAGAAGGGAGAUAAAGGGACUGAUCAGGGAGAAUAGGAUGAAUUUGAAAAUGAUGAUCUCCUAGGGGAAGAUAUGGAUACUAGUCAUGAUAAUAAUGUCAGCAAGACAAAUCAUACCCCCCAUGCCUUCUGCUACUCCCAGACACAAGUCAAAGAGCAAUACUGUAUGCGCUGAUGAGGUAAAAUCAAGCCUAGAGAAAACAGUGUUUGCUAAACUACAAGAGGCUCCUAUAGCCAAGAGUUAUGUGGAAAUAGUGAAGAAGAAACCUGUGGAGAACAUUGGUGUCCAUCUCUUGCCUCAGUUUGAAGCUGUUGAAGGGAGAAGUGAUACUAAUGGACAAAAAUCUGAUGCUGCUACAAAGGAUAAAAAAGGAAAAUGGGGCCCUGUAGUAGCUACCAGAAUGAGUGAUAGGGUGAAGAGAGAUUGCAAACCUGCCCUGCAAAAAGCUCAAGAACUAAAGAGAAUGAGGGAUUUGGAAAUACCCAAAUACAAGCAGGAUAAAGGUGAACUAAAUGAAAUCUAGAGGAGGGAAGAGAUUAAAUCCAGACAGAGAUAUUCUAGAAGGAGAGCAGAACACACAGUAUUUUCAAGCGGUGGCUAAUCAAAAAAGAAGAAAGAAGCAGAUACUAAUGCUGGAAAGUGAAGAUGGAAUGGUCACAGACACUCCAGGGUGUGUGGAGAAAGAUGGCAGCUAUGCUAUCUGCAUGGGAGAUCCUAUACUCAGGGCUUGUCAAUGACAGAGUGCGUUGGCUGGUUGCAAGGCUGGAACAAAAGAUAAGAGAGCCUCCUCUGCUCAUGUGGCCGGACCCUGGGUAGGACAAAGAUGUUGCAAUGUGAUGAUCACUACGCCUGGUGGGGAAGAUGAACGCGGUGAACUUUCUCUUCCACCCCUGGAGGCCUGCACUGCAUGGCCAGUGAGCCUGAAGGAGAUGAUGUAACACCUCAAAUGGUGCGAUAAAUUUGUGUAAUUUUAGGCGUAUCAACUUGCCAGGCCGUGAGUGUGCGGCUUUUGGGUUCUUUCUGCUGUUUUAGUUCUGCUUUAGAGGAGUGGUGUAGAAGGGUAGCCUCUUUUAGUGCUGCCUAGUUGAGACUUGAGGAUGGUGUAAAACUGAAUUUGGUCUGGUUUCAUUGAUCAAUGCAAUGGAGCCGGGGCUCUCGAGCCCUUUUCCUCUAAAAAAUGCUCUA